UACGUAGGGGGCGAGCGUUGUCCGGAUUAUUGGGCGUAAAGAGCGUGUAGGCGGUUUUACAGGUCCGCUGUGAAAACUCGAGGCUCAACCUCGAGCUGUCGGUGGAAACCGUAAGGCUAGAGUCCGGAAGAGGAGAGUGGAAUUCCUGGUGUAGCGGUGAAAUGCGCAGAUAUCAGGAAGAACACCCGUGGCGAAGGCGGCUCUCUGGGACGGUACUGACGCUGAGACGCGAAAGCGUGGGGAGCGAACAGG
rnacentral:rRNA from 1 species